ensembl:snoRNA
UGAUGGCUGUUCCUCUCGCUGCCUGGAGCCUUAGGCAAUGAGAUUUUAGUCCAUCAAAUAUUAAACCUGACUUGUCUUCACUCAGAGCACCUUGGGAUGGCUGGCUGUCCAGUAGUGCUUCUGAUUUUUGCGGAGUCAAACAAUU